GACUUGAAUGAUGACUAGAUUGUCGGAUACCCCUACACUCCAACGUAUGAGUGAAAAAAAAGUCUGACAAUC
rnacentral:snoRNA from 13 species